GGAAAACAGUAUGAGAAUGCCUGAAUAUGUCAUCUCUUCAGACCAGGCACUGUAUAAUUAAGCACAUCUAUUACAUUGGCCACUAAAUAUUGGGUUAUGAACUCCUCGUCUCUCUGAAGAGUAGGUACAGAUCUGUUUCCUGGGCCUCUCAGGCAGGUGGACGUGGUCCAGUACAAGGCAGAGCCAGUCCCAGUGCAGAUGUGACCCAGGGGUCCAGAGCCUCCUCCUCCAGGUGACCCUUCCAACAUGAGGCCCUGCUUUCAUCCCUGCUGGCACACAGCCAGCACGCUUCAAAUCUUCCAGCCCAGAAGGCCAACUU